AACGCGAAGAACCUUACCAAGGCUUGACAUAUACAGGAAUAUGGCAGAGAUGUCAUAGCCGCAAGGUCUGUAUACGGGUGGUGCAUGGUUGUCGUCAGCUCGUGUCGUGAGAUGUUGGGUUAAGUCCCGCAACGAGCGCAACCCUCGUUCUGUGUUGCCAGCAUUUAGUUGGGGACUCACAGGAGACUGCCGGGGUUAACUCGGAGGAAGGUGGGGAUGACGUCAAAUCAUCAUGCCCCUUAUGUCUUGGGCUGCACGCAUGCUACAAUGGCUGGUACAAACGGCUGCAAUACCGCAAGGUGGAGCGAAUCCGAGAAAGCCAGUCUCAGUUCGGAUUGGGGUCUGCAACUCGACCUCAUGAAGUCGGAGUUGCUGGUAAUCGUAGAUCAGCAACGCUACGGUGAAUACGUUCCCGGGUCUUGUACACACCG
rnacentral:rRNA from 1 species